CUCUAUUGCAUUUGUUCACGAUAUCACUCCAUCACCGUUUUAUCAUAACUUCUUUUCGCCUCUAAUAUUGAUAGCCCUCCGUGAAAUUUCCAGCAUUAUUAUAUUUCCAUUGGUGUCCUAUCGAUUUGGCUUGGCUUUACUCCAAUAGAACUCUAUGUGCAACAUCGCAAAGUAUCUUUAAUUUUGUUUCCUUUCUCCACGAAUCAAAGGCUUUCAGCGUUUCAUCCAUGAUGCAAUUGAAAGGUCGUGAGAGUUGGUUGCAUAGGAAGAAGGAUCAAUGAAAUUGCAAACGUUGUGUUCCAAUUAAUCCAACCACUUCUCUUCAGUUUUGCUUUUUUCAUUCUGUUGGCUCUCCUUUUAGUGUUUGAUCGGGUUCUUUUCAGUUCCAAGUACAGAAAUAAAGAAGAAAAAAAUACAAAAACCAGAUUGACUUCUGAAGCAUAAUACCUUUUUGUCCUCUAAUGUGAUUGUUUUUUCAGGAAGAGAUUGAAAAGAUUAAGAGGUGCCCUGAGCAAGAUUCCUGUGACUGUCGAAGCCAGUUUCAUCUGCAUAAGCUACCGUGGUCAAAUAGAUUUUUCAUUGGAUUUUCAGAGGACUUCAGCAUAUCAAGUAUGGAGGGAAUUGAUUGAAGCGAUAUGUCAAAGGUCAGCAAUGAAGAAGUUCACUUCAUUACAACAACAACAUCCCAAUUAUCAAACUCGAUUGAACUCGGUCAAUAUAGUGCAAAAUCAAACGGAAGUAAACCAAGAAAACAUAGGACCAACAUCUACGGGUAAUUAUGAUUUCUUAUUUUUUUUGUCUCUAUUAAAUCCGUACGUUGUAUGAAUAUUUUUGUACGAAUUAUUAAGACAAAUAUAGUAAGAUUGAACGAAUAAGUGAUUUUAAAUUGUCAUUGCCUUUU